CAAUAGAAACAUCUUAAACCUAAGAGUCGAUCUUCCGUUUAUAAAAUAUAGUACUCCUGAGGAAUACAAUAACCUACAAAUCAACGAAACACGCUGUACCUUUUGCAUUAUGGUUUAACAAUUAUAUUCACAAGCUCUUCUCCCGAAGUAAGGAGAGCUGAUAACCCCCUGUUAAGAACCUAAGAAGUUUAUGUUGCAACAUAUUUUCAAGAGGGGAAUCAGAGGCUACAUACCAUCCGCGCCUUAUAAUAGCUGGCUCCUUAUUAAACCUAUCUUAGUAGACUAAACAUAGAAAUGUUAUAUUAUAUGCUCGGGGCCAAGCUGGAGCAUAAAUAAUUUAUUCAUAUUUAAAAAAAUUUCUCCAACCAGGUCUAAUAUUGUCCAUAAAAUUUUAUAAUUUCUGUCCAAUAAAAAAUAAAUUCCUUAAGUAUAAUAAACUAAGUAAUAAGGGUUAAAGAAAACAACCAACAAAUAACUACUCUGUUAAAAUAAGUAUUUUACCUACUCUACUUCCAUAAACUAAAAACUUAAUUUAUUAUAUAUCUAAAAGUAAAUAAAAACAAGGAACUCGGCAAAUACAAACUCCGGCUGUUUAUCAAAAACACCGCCUCUAGACCCACAAAUUAGAGGUCCAUUCUGCCCUAUGCCCUACGGGGUAAAUGGCCGCGGUAGCCUGACCGUGCUAAGGUAGCAUAAUCAUUUGCCGUUUAAUUGGUGGCUGGAAUGAACGAAUAUACGAGAGUUUAGCUGUCUCCUUUUUACACAUAAAAAUUGACUUUCAGGUGAAGAGACCUGAAUAUUUAAAAAAGACGAAAAGACCCUAUAGAGCUUCACCUUUACCUUAACUUUACUAAAUAAAGGUUUAGUUGGGGCAACUAGAGAGAACCUAAAACCUCUCUUUAAUAAAAUAAAUUUGAUCCGCUAUGCGAUUAACAGAAAAAGCUACCUUAGGGAUAACAGGCUAAUCUUCUUUGAGAGACCAUAUUGACAAGAAGGAUUGGCACCUCGAUGUUGGCUCAAGGUUACAGUUUGAUGCAGCAGUCAAACAAAGUAGGUUUGUUCACCCUUUAAAUCCUUACGUGAGCUGAGUUCAGACCGACGUAAGUCAGGUCAGUUUUUAUCUUUUAUACCCCUUCAAUUGUACGAAAGGACCUUGAUGGGGGAAAAUUUCCUCAUGGUGAUUCCUAAUAACCGCCUAUAAGCAUAUUUCUUU
rnacentral:rRNA from 1 species